AGUAAGUAUUGUCUCAUUAAGCUUUUGCUUCUCGAGUUUGUUAUUGUUUCUUCACUCAGAUGAAUGAUUCUAGUAAACUUAUAUUUUAUAUUACUAUGUUACUUGAAGGCAAUAAUUCGAAUGUUAUCAAGAAAGUCACUGAAACAGUAACACUUGCAGAGGUAUGUUCAUAUGCCUUCGCAAUCAUUUUAAUGAAUGUAUGGUACCUUUAUAAUUAACUUCACAGAGGGAAGUAUGUAUUAACUUUAUUAGAGAAUCAUGCACAGAUGAAAUAGAAUGCAUUAAAGGGAAGAGAGUAUUUAGUGUCAAUGUAUUGUGUGACACAUGAAGUGGAAUGAACAAAUGUCACCCCUAUCAAACUGUUGUACAAAAUUUCAACCAUAAUAAAAGUAAUGGUAGGAUUAGUAUUGGGUAUUGUACAGAUCAAAAAUUCACUGAUACACCACAGGCACCAGGGACACAUAGGUUCUAAUCUAAAUCAUGAAAAAUUGAAAAUGUAGAUGAUACAGAAAUACAGUGGCUGAUAUUCAAGAGGGGAAAGAGAGGGGUAAAUGGAAAUUCAGUUGAACAGGGCAAGCUCAUGACAAUGCUAAAUUGAAUAAUUGUUCCCUAUAGUCAGAUCUUCUUAAUAGUUUUAUCAAAUUUUGUAAAAAGUUUAAGCUGAUUCAGAUCAAAAUUAGAUUUUUACUCUACCUUAUUCUUAACAGUAAUAGUAUUGGUGCAUGUACACAAUUGUAAUUAAAAUAUUCACACAAUUGCUAAUCCUAGACUUUAACUUAAAGUUUUUAAAGAUACUAUUGCUACUAUACCGAUGUUAUACUAUCAUUACUAUAAGUUACCUGGUACAUGUGUAAGUUACAUUGACAAUAUCCACAUCACUUACAUUAAUUGGUACCAAUUUGUACUACAGCAUGCAUAUAAUAAACUGCUACAGUGAUCAUCUAACACAUUUUGCACAGUCACAUUACUAGUAAGACCUUAUUUAUUUAUUUACUUAUAUAUUUAUAAUACCGGUACUCAUUUUAUUUUAUUUAUUAAUCUGUAGACAGAUUCAAGAUAUUGAAUAUACUUCUGUUGACCAAUAUCCACUAGUGUGUAGUUUUGUUGAUGAAAAGAUGAAUGAGAACUUGAAAUUAAGAAUGAAGUCGUCCAAUUACUAGGCACCAUUCCAGUGAGGUUAGAGUAUAAACUCCUGGCAUUUAGUAACGUGCUAAGUUUUCUGCAGGCAGUGGUUUAGUCUGAAUGAUAGGCUGUGUAUCAUCAUGUUUUGAUAGUGGAAGUGAAGGAGUAAGGGACUGAUUAUAACUUGGAAUUAGAAGGUGUAAAGUGAACUAGGAUAAAGGGUCAGACCUGUAAGGACUGGAAGACAAUUUCUACCAGCAAAUAAUCUACCAACAAGAAUUGGGCCCAAAAUUAAAAAAAGACAAAGUUUAAUCAUGCAUGUAACAUUGUA